UCAAGAAUCUACAAUCAUGGUUCUUGCUUCCCAGCCUGAGGCAGGUCUGUUUGGGCACACUGAGGACGGUGCUAAGAAUCCCAGGAGUUAUAAGAGGUCUCUGUAUAUCCUUUAUGUCCUUAUGGAGAAGCACAGUAAGUAGUCUUCCCAUGUGUUGUUGUGUGAAUAGGAGUCUUCAUAUCAGCUUAUUUUUUUAACCCAAUCAGGCAUGAAAAAUGAUUGAUGUGAAACCUCAUCCCAAGUUAUGUAAGUGCUGCUCAGUUUUAAAAUUGAUUAAAUGAUAUUUUAAGCAGAAGUAAACUAUAAAUAAAUUCAAAUAGGAAAGAAAUAGAUCAAAGGUGUGGAGCAUGAGUAAUAUUUUUUGGUUUAUUCAAAAUAAUACUUUAUGUUAGUACUGAAUAAAAUUGCUAAUUUGAGCAGAGUUACUUUUGCAGGCUUGAAAUGAUGGCAAAACACUGUGGAUGCUGGCGAUCUGAAGGAAGAACACAUCCAGCAGAUUUGAGGAGUGGAUCUUCACCGCAGGCAUGAAGUUGAUUGGAGUUUUGCUGCUGAGUGGAUUGUUUGUCAGUAAUGUGGCAGCUGAUCAUGUGCAGAAUUCGACAGAUCUAGAUCAGGAUAUUGAGAAACGUGAUCUCACGAGCAAAGGGGAUUGUCCUGGUGGC